GUCAACUAUCCCUCCCUUAAUGGGAGGGGCUUGUAGGUAAUUACAAGUCGGGUUGAUCAGGAUAAUUACGGAGCAGAUCGAUGCAAAGAAGUAACUACGUAAAUGAUAAGCUAUACAAGAUCCAUUCCGGGGUACUUCUUCAGUCCCGGCCCCUGGAAGGAGGGGGUCAUGCAGGAGAAAGGCAAAGCGCCGAAGGUCCCCUUCUCCUAUGCAUGCGGGUAGCCGGUUGCGCUCUUUCCCAAGGGAAGCGAGUCAGGAACGCCAG
rnacentral:sRNA from 1 species